AUUGAACGCUGGCGGCAGGCCUAACACAUGCAAGUCGAACGAGUGGCGGACGGGUGAGUAAUGUCUGGGAAACUGCCUGAUGGAGGGGGAUAACUACUAGAAACGGUAGCUAAUACCGCAUACCAUCGGAUGUGCCCAGAGGGGAUUAGCUUGUUGGUGGGGUAACGGCGCACCAAGGCGACGAUCCCUAGCUGGUCUGAGAGGAUGACCAGCCACACUGGAACUGAGACACGGUCCAGACUCCUACGGGAGGCAGCAGUGGGGAAUAUUGCACAAUGGGCGCAAGCCUGAUGCAGCCAUGCCGCGUGUAUGAAGAAGGCCUUCGGGUUGUAAAGUACUUUCAGCGGGGAGGCGUUACCCGCAGAAGAAGCACCGGCUAACUCCGUGCCAGUCGCCGCGGUAUAC
rnacentral:rRNA from 1 species